rnacentral:tRNA from 1 species
GGGGUUGUGGCUCAGUGGUAGAGCUCUUGCUUAGCAUGUGUGAGGCACUGGGUUCAAUUCCCAGCACCACA